CACCCCUAGCAAUGGGCAAGAGACAUCUUGUUGGUGGCGGUGUUCUUAAUAUCAGUCAGGGGUGGAACAGAUGGCAGUCCUUUGUUUGUCUUAGCUUGAUGCCUGGCGUGUUGGCCAAAGUAUCUUAUCUUAUGCCUGAGACUCAUAA